rnacentral:rRNA from 1 species
GACGGUACCUCCAGAAGAAGCACCGGCUAACUACGUGCCAGCAGCCGCGGUAAUACGUAGGGUGCGAGCGUUGUCCGGAAUUAUUGGGCGUAAAGAGCUCGUAGGCGGCCUGUCGCGUCGGAUGUGAAAACCCAGGGGUUAACCCUGGGUGUGCAUUCGAUACGGGCAGGCUAGAGUUCGGUAGGGGAGAUCGGAAUUCCUGGUGUAGCGGUGAAAAGCGCAGAUAUCAGGAGGAACACCGGUGGCGAAGGCGGAUCUCUGGGCCGAUACUGACGCUGAGGAGCGAAAACAUGGGGAGCGAACAGGAUUAG